AUACGGAGGGUGCAAGCGUUGUCCGGAUUUAUUGGGUUUAAAGGGUGUGUAGGCGGUGUAUUAAGUCAGUGGUGAAAGCCUGCGACUCAACCGUAGAACUGCCAUUGAUACUGACACACUUGAGUAUGGACGAGGUAGGCGGAAUUUAUGGUGUAGCGGUGAAAUGCAUAGAUACCAUAAAGAACACCGAUAGCGAAGGCAGCUUACUAGGCCAUAACUGACGCUGAGGCACGAAAGCGUGGGGAGCGAACAGGAUUAGAAACCCCAGUAGUCC
rnacentral:rRNA from 1 species